UCUUUUUUUCAACUAUAGUUUAAACUACAUUACCAUUUGCGACGUACAAUUGCCAUCUACCUGCCAUAACGAAAACUAUUUAUUAUAUCAACGGUUAUAAAAAAUCGGAUUGGUGAUCCCGGAGGUUCUAAAGAUUCCGAGAUCUAGUUGGACGCAAGACACACUAAGCCAAGGCAAUUUGGAACCUGUAAAUCAUUAUGACACACCGCCCAUUAGAGCUCUUUUAGCAUCUCGUUUUAAGGCAUCCCUACACGUAGAGUCAACUUUCCUGGAAGAGAAAAAGUUCUAUGUCAUCGAAACAGUAACUCGACCGAUCGUGGUCAUGUCACAAACAACCACAUUCAGGAUGGUAAAGGCGAAAAAAAGUCUUGCAACGACGAAAGACCUAACAAGUUGAGACAUAACAGGUCAAGAGCAAUCCAAAUCUGAAAAGGCACUCAAUCAGUUUGUAACGCAUCCGAUCCGCUCGAAAAUCCAAUCGCAUUGAUGAAGAAGCUGUUCUAAGCCAACGAGGCAUUCGUAGCAUUGGUUGAAACGAAACGAUCCUUGCCAACAUCAAUAAGUAUUUCAUGAAUUUGGUAGAAGUGAUAUUUUUGGAUCGUGUUUAUGCCACCGAGUAUCAAAAAGCAUUUUGGAGACAUGCCACAUCUAGGGAACUAAAUGGCUCAGUUUUAUAACCCACGGCACUGUACUAAGUCGUUCUCAAUGCAUUAUUCUUGCUUUUAAUGAGCUUUUAUUAUAAUUUUUGAAUAUUCUUUUGUGUAUUGUUCUUGAUGAGUAACGAAAAAAAAAUAAAAUUAAAGCUUAGAAAAUUAUCAAUAAAUAAUUCCAGAAAAAAAAUUGUUUUUGUCUCC